CACAAGAAGUUGAAGAUCUCCAAUGAUGGAUUGCAGAUGGAGAAGGACGAGAGCUCUCUGAAGAAGAGCCACACUCCGGAGAGAUUUAGUGGCACGGGGUGUUAUGGGGCAGCAGGAAAUAUAUUCAUUGACAGUGGCUGCCACUACUGGGAGGUGGUCAUGGGUUCUUCAACAUGGUAUGCAAUCGGUAUUGCCUACAAAUCAGCUCCAAAGAACGAGUGGAUUGGCAAGAAUGCCUCUUCCUGGGUCUUCUCUCGAUGCAACAGUCACUUCGUGGUGCGACAUAACAACAAGGAAAUGCUGGUGGAUGUGCCCCCACAGUUGAAGCGUCUAGGCGUCCUCUUGGAUUAUGACAACAACAUGCUGUCUUUCUAUGACCCAGCUAACUCUCUCCAU
rnacentral:lncRNA from 1 species